rnacentral:rRNA from 1 species
GAUGAACGCUGGCGGCGUGCCUAAUACAUGCAAGUCGAGCGAACGGACGAGAAGCUUGCUUCUCUGAUGUUAGCGGCGGACGGGUGAGUAACACGUGGAUAACCUACCUAUAAGACUGGGAUAACUUCGGGAAACCGGAGCUAAUACCGGAUAAUAUUUUGAACCGCAUGGUUCAAAAGUGAAAGACGGUCUUGCUGUCACUUAUAGAUGGAUCCGCGCUGCAUUAGCUAGUUGGUAAGGUAACGGCUUACCAAGGCAACGAUGCAUAGCCGACCUGAGAGGGUGAUCGGCCACACUGGAACUGAGACACGGUCCAGACUCCUACGGGAGGCAGCAGUAGGGAAUCUUCCGCAAUGGGCGAAAGCCUGACGGAGCAAUGCCGCGUGAGUGAUGAAGGUCUUCGGAUCGUAAAACUCUGUUAUUAGGGAAGAACAUAUGUGUAAGUAACUGUGCACAUCUUGACGGUACCUAAUCAGAAAGCCACGGCUAACUACGUGC